rnacentral:rRNA from 2 species
CGGCAUGCCUAACACAUGCAAGUCGAACGAAGGCCCACCUUCGGGUGGUCACCUUAGUGGCGCACGGGUGAGUAACGCGUGGGAACCUACCCUGGAGUGGGGAAUAACUACUGGAAACGGUAGCUAAUACCGCAUAAUCCCUGAGGGGGAAAGGCUUCGGCCGCUCUUGGAUGGUCCCGCGUCCGAUUAGCUUGUUGGUAGGGUAACGGCCUACCAAGGCGACGAUCGGUAGCUGGUCUGAGAGGAUGGACAGCCACACUGGGACUGAGACACGGCCCAGACUCC